GUGAGAUGAUGAAGGUGUUUAUCCAUUCUCUGAGCGCUGCUGGCCCGCCCUCUCUGCAGCGGUCGCGUCUGUUCUAGACUCGACUGUGUCGGCUGCCUGUCUCCACGCUGUGCUGUAGUGUUUUACUGGAGACACAGCUGCUGAAGGCAGGAGAGCCGCGGAGGGGUGUGAGGGCCUGGCGAUAGCAAAGACGAGCGUAAACCCCUGAUCAC